rnacentral:rRNA from 1 species
UGGUCUUGACAUCCCGGAGAUCUUCUGGAAACAGAAGAGUGCUUUCAUUAGAGAGAAUCCGGUGAC